UACGUAGGGUGCGAGCGUUAAUCGGAAUUACUGGGCGUAAAGCGUGCGCAGGCGGUUUUGUAAGCCAGAUGUGAAAUCCCCGGGCUUAACCUGGGAAUGGCAUUUGGGACUGCAAGGCUUGAGUGUGGCAGAGGAGACUGGAAUUCCUGGGUGUAGCAGUGAAAUGCGUAGAUAUCAGGAGGAACACCGAUGGCGAAGGCAGGUCUCUGGGCUAACACUGACGCUCAUGCACGAAAGCGUGGGGAGCAAACGAGG
rnacentral:rRNA from 1 species